UGAGCCUCUGUCAGAUCUCUAAGUGUGUCUUAACUAUGUUGCCUGGUUUACAGCCAACUACAGUUUUGCUGCUCAGCCUCUGCCAGGCUAUGUCCUAAUUUCAAAACAGUAUCUUCACUAUGUUUCAAUCCCCAAGGGCACUAGCUACACCAGAUUUAAUUAAAACUGGGAAUGCUAAUCAGCAGGUCCUGCGGUAACUGAGAGAUUUCUCACUGUCCCAAAGUUAAGUGGCUUCUGCUUCCUACCAUUGUGGGAAGCACUGAAACAAUGCUGCUGGGCGACAGAUCCCAGAGCCUGCAGCGCCAGCAUUCCUUACCUGGAACUUGGGAACAGCAGCAGGUUCAUUCAGGGAUAGUCUGACUUCAGAUACAGUGGAGAGGUUGCAUAAUUGAAUCCUGUAACAAAUCCCCUUUCUACAUUUGCAAAUCAUAAAACACCACCAAGACUUUUACUAAUGAAUAUGUGUAAGGAAAUAAAAAGAACCUUGAAUAACUUAAUGCUCUUCUCUGCACUGAACUGGAUGACAGUUAUACAUUACUGCAGAUUUCUGUUCAAGGCUCAGAGACCUUGAUUAGCCAGAUUGCCCUAACCAGGGCAGGCACCUCUCUGGCCCCUGUGAUCUGUGCAACUGGAUUUUCUCCCCAGGGUGUGCAGUACAGGAGCACAGGUGGAAGCAGAAGCACACUCGGAAGUAGGAAAUGUUCUGAAGUUCAGCAGUUGCAGCUAAUCAUUAAAGUCAACAAGGGAUUGUUUUCCACUGAGGUGUCCACAAGCACAGCGCCUGCAGCCUAAACCACCUGGCUUUGCAUUUCCAUAUGUGCCAGGGAUGUGUCAGCAGAGACAUUCCUGGUGAAUGCAGAAUAUUAAUGAAGUGGAAAUUCCCUCUUUACAAUUUUCUGAUGCAAAUCAUCUCUUCUCCCUGGUAACUGGGAAUCCUGAGAUGCCAGAAAGAAGGGACACUCCAGAAGCAGCUGAUUAAAAUGAAACACCUGCCUAGAGAAUGAUGGCUGAAAGGCUGAAAGGUGAAGAGAGAGGAGCUGUAUUUGUCAAUUAGCAGGAAGAAAAAUUCCUAAGGAGAGCUCAAACCUGUACACCCAAGGCCAGUGACCUUAAAAAAACAAAAGGGGCAAGACAAACAGAAAACAUACAUGAGAAGAGCAUCAGGGCUGAUUAUCCUGCAGUGCAACCACUCUGGCUGCUGUACCAGGUACACUUGUGAGUAAAACUGCAGGACAGCUUUGGGAGCUUGCUUUGACUCAGCUGCAGAAACCCAGUAAAACUGGUGAAGUGUUUUUACAUCUUGGGAGAAACCCAGCCAGAGUCCUUCAAAAGUCAGUGGUGGAAUACAAAAGUCAGUGAUGCUGCUACUGUAACAAGAGUACAGCUGCUGUCUGAAGUGCUGAACAAUGUGGUCGGUUCAAGAGUAAUACCUGUUCACUCCACAAUUUUGCACUCCAAAAUGAUGUUCUUUCAGCUUCCCUACAAGAGCCACAUUAACCAUGGGCAUUUUUUGCUGCACCUUUUUUUUUUCCCUGUGCACGUGGUGUAUCUCAUCUUUUCAAGACUCCAGUGCUACACAAGGAAUAAUAAUAUUUAGCAGUCAUUGAAAACAAAAUCUCUUCAGUGGAAUAGAAUUGAUUUUAUCUCAUUGCAAUUUCAGAGUGCUCCCAUUGCCUCAUCUGCCAAGCAGGUGUUACAGCAGCAAACAAAGAUGUGAAAGCAUCAGUCACAGCACUGUUAACUGCUCAGUGCUCAGGCAGCUCUCAGACUCUGUUAUCAAAAAAAAAGCAAAACCCAAUAAUUUCCCAACAGAGCACCAAUGGAAGGAAACAGUCCCACUGAUACAGAGAAAAUGACAUUCUGAUGCAGUGAUGGCAGGAUGGCAGGAAAUUUUGAGGGACUGGCACACUCCAGGAACAUGAAGGCAAUUACCAGAAAACAAUGGGAACAGCAUGAAGGAGUAGCUGUGUACUGUGUCUGUCUCCAUGGGACUCAAGUGGCAUCACACAAAGCUGAGGGAUUUGGUACAAUUACUCAUUUAGCACAUGCUCCAACUGCCCUUCAUCCCAGACAUGGCCCCUAUUAGAAAUGGAUGUGCAAAGGAUUGAUUUUAGCAGAGCAAGACUUGUUUUAACACUGAAUAAAUCUGGGGUGCAUUACACUCGUGGUUUAAAAUUGGCUCAGUGUGGGAGAAAGCAACCUCCAAGGUAAUUUUGAAUUCUGUUUCCAUGUUUUAUGUAAAACAUAAAUUCUGUAUUUUUCUCCUAUGACAAUACCUGGUCUUCCCCUCCGUAGGCAGGAAAAACUCAGGUUAUCUUACAUUUGCCAGUACUUGAAAAAUGGAAACCUUGCUAUUUAUGUUAAGGAAUUUUUCAUAUUUAGCUUUUUACUUUUCACUCAAAGUUUUAAAUUUUGUUUGAUACUUUUUACAGGUGAGUAGAUUCAGUUGAUAAUUUUGAUCUACGGGAAACAAUGAGGCUUAUAAGUUGUAUUCAAAAAAUCCUUGAAAGCAGUACCAUUUAACUUAAAUAUAUUUUGUCUGGCAACAGAGCCAUUAACAAUUUGAGACAAAAAUUCAAGAGUAGGAAAGUUUGAGAAAAUACCUGCUUUAUGAAACUUUUCCAUUAUCUCCUGACGAACUGAUUUCUCCAAGUUGAAGUAAUCGUCAUCUUCAUCAGGUUUGCUCAGAAACAGAGGGAUGUGCUGAAAUACAAUUAUAUGCUUGCAUUUCUGGCUU